GGCGCCGUGGCUUAGUUGGUUAAAGCGCCUGUAUAGUAAACAGGAGAUCACGAGUUCGAAUCUCGUCGGUGCCU